rnacentral:rRNA from 1 species
UGGGGAAUAUUGCACAAUGGGGGAAACCCUGAUGCAGCGACGCCGCGUGAGCGAAGAAGGCCUUCGGGUCGUAAAGCUCUUUUAUAUGGGAAGAUAAUGACGGUACCAUAAGAAAAAGCCCCGGCUAACUACGUGCCAGCAGCCGCGGUAAUACGUAGGGGGCUAGCGUUGUCCGGAAUCACUGGGCGUAAAGGGUUCGCAGGCGGAAAUGCAAGUCAGGUGUAAAAGGCAGUAGCUUAACUACUGUAAGCAUUUGAAACUGCAUAUCUUGAGAAGAGUAGAGGUAAGUGGAAUUUUUAGUGUAGCGGUGAAAUGCGUAGAUAUUAAAAAGAAUACCGGUGGCGAAGGCGACUUACUGGGCUCAUUCUGACGCUGGGGAACGAAAGCGUGGGUAGCAAACAGG